rnacentral:lncRNA from 1 species
GUCAUGGCUAAUUGUGCUAUUAGGAGGUGGGGCCAAGUCAGAGGGGGCAAGUCACUUAAGUGUGACCUGGAGAGGUGUAUUCUUGUCCCUGGCUUCUCCCUUCUCUCUCUGCUUCAUAGCCACCAUGACACGAGCAGGUUUUUGUCUGCUAUCUGCUGCACCAUUUCUGCCUUGGAGCCAGCCAACUAUAGAUUGGACCCUCUGAAACCAUCAACCUGUAUCUCCUGUGUAGAGCCUCCUUUCAUUCCCAAUGUGUUUCCUAUCGUCCUACCCACACCCCACAGCUCUCUUAGGGUGAUACAGGUUAUAUGCUGGUCCUGUUUACUCCCAGGCUUUUAAGGAGGCAUCGUGGGGGGUAAAAUACGCCCACAUUGUACUUUUGUGAUGUAAAUAAGUACAUUGCAUAAUGGUAACUGGGUGUGGCUUUCAGUAGCUGUGCCUGGGGAAAACAGGAACCCAUCUGUGCAUUCACCUAUUUGGCAGACAAAAGACAACGUAUAUACAGGAGUGCCAAAGUAGCAGCAGAAUUACCCCAAAUCAGUACAAUGGCACAUGAAAAACCAGAUUUGCAAAUUUUGGGGGAGGUCGAAAGUGAAUCAUCAAGUGACUCAUCCACCGAUGUUGAUGACAUUGAUAUUGACCAUUUGAGCCAAAGAUCCUGUGACAGUGAAGCGGACCAAGAAUUGACUGAUACAGACACAAGGAAUGAAAACCUCUUUGAUUCACAUGAUGAAGAAAACAUCAACAUACCAAAAACUGGAACCCUAAAUGAAGGACACCCAUAGCGGAAUGAGCCCAGAGACAGGGACACUGAACCAGUGCUUUAGAAAACCAGAUCUGCCUCAUUCCCUGGGACCGCGGUCAAGGUUGAAAGCCGCCUUCACAUCGUCAGAGGUCUUUGGAAGCCAGCAGGGAGGACGCCUCCAGCACGGGAGGACAUCUUGGCCGGCCCGCCUCUGCAGAGCACAGACAGAAGCGAGAAACGGGCUCACCUCUUCUUCAUCUCUCAGAGACGACGACAUUGAACGGAUGAGGGGCUGACGUGAGGCCGAGAUCUCCCCGUGAGGACGGGCUCCACAGCGUCCUCAGGCAGGGAGAAUGUGAAGCUCUGCAGCAGGCUCACAAACAUCAGGAACAGCUCCAUCUUGGCCAGCUGCUCGCCCAUGCACACCCGCUUCCCUGGAGAGGGAGAGAUCUCGGACAUGGGCCCGCUUCCUACUUCAGAGAGUACAAAUUCUUUGUUUGUUUUCUUUGGAGUCAGGGUCACCCUAUGUAGUUCAGGCUGGCCUUGAACUCACUAUGUAAGUCAGGCUGGCCUCCAACUCAUGCGAUCCUCCUGCCUCAGCCUCCCAAGUGCUGGGACGACCUGGCAGAAG